rnacentral:lncRNA from 1 species
GCCCGCUAGAUAUGUACACCUUACAAUUAUUCCAUACAACAAAUAUAGUAGACCUAUUGCAUAUAGUAUGAGAAAAACAGACCAAAACACAAAAACUUAACUAUAACCACUGAACCAUGAAAAUGAGGUCAAGGUCAGAUGACACCUGCCAGUUGGACAUGUACACCUUACAGUCCUUCCAUACACCGAAUAUACUAGCCCUAUUGCUUAUAGUAUCUGAGAUAUGGACUUGACCACC